GAAUGGUGUCUCUGUACGAGGUAGGACUUGAUACGUUUUGGUGGGAAAAGCUUCUCUAUACCGAUGCAGUGUCAACAGGAAUGGAUACAUGUAGCCUAAUUGUAGCUACACUGUACACAAAUUGCUCUCUAAGUAAUAUCUGUCCAGUUUCUCUUCUUUGCAAGCUAGAAUUGUCCCUGAGAAUGCACUAUAGAUAACGUCUUAAUAAAAAAUUACCUUAGACCCUGUUUAGUAUGCAUUGUUGAAUUGACUGUUUGCUAGUACUGUGUAAAACGAUGUAGGCGGCCCAUGUCACUGUAUCACAUGCAUGAGUGUAUUUGUAUUGCUCAUAUUCAACAAGUAUAGUGCCUGAGAUGCGAUCUCAGGACAAAAAAUGUAUCAUCCUCAAGAUUUCUAGUUUGUUUACGGGUGUGUGUGUUCAGCUGUUUCUGGUCAACAGUUGUAAUGCGAAUACAAAAUCCUAUAAGCACCCGCGUGCUUACUGCCUUGACGUAUGUUUUGCUUCCGUCAAAAGAAGAGGAGCCUCAUGAGUAGAGAUAAUCUUUAAGGAUAUGGAUCUAAUUAUGAUAAUAGAAGUUUAGUGUUAUACAGUUGAGCCUCGAUUAGCCUUCAAUGAGUAAUACUAGCCAUAACUCGAGAAAGAAGCUUUAGUUCAAAUCCUAAUCCAUAAAUCCAAAUCCAAAAGAACGUGGCUAGAAGCUGUUAGUUUUUGUCGCAUUGCAAACACACACACGCACACAGUCAGCUUUACUGUAUAUUCCUCAUGCGGCUACGUCGAGGCAUAACUAAGAGAUUCUGUAUGUUCCAGCAUAGAUAAUAGAGAAAGGGAUUGGAAACGUUCACGUGACCCAGUAAUCUGUAUACAACACAUGUAGUGGCAUCCUGCAGCUGUGUCAUUAUGAGUGUGAGUGUCUCUGUGUAUGAUUCCAUCCUUGUUUUUAAAAUCAGGGGAUUUAUAUAAGUUAUAAGGUUGCAUAGUAGUAGCUGCCUUUGUCAUUGUUAUAUAGUAUUUAGAAUCGGUGUAGCAAUUGUGAUGUAAUUACAGCGCCACCACACCAUGAUUAAAUAUCAUUUUUGAGGUCCUAAAAAGUGCCAAAACAGAUUUUUGAUUACGACGGAUCUAAAUGUGUAAUGAGUUCUUCUCCUGAUUUUGAGAGGAAUUUGUACACAAAAAGUGAAUUAAAAAAACUACCAGUAACUGUGCGUUAACCUGAGGUGCAUGGGCGGCCACGACCAACGGGUUAUAACAGUCAGUUGGUUUGUUUGUUUGUAUGUGCUAAGGUUUUAAGACAAAAAAUGUAUUUUCAUAUACAAGAACGAGUGUGGACACCCAUAAAUUUGACCAGACAUGGAGAAUUUCAUUUUCUAUUUUGUAACAAUAAACAAGUAAUUAUUCUGAGAAGUCAUUGUCAAUGUCGUCCUGCAAUUCCGAGAGUACUUCAAGGCCGCCGAAAACAUAUAAAUCCCCUGCACAUUCUGGCCAUUAAUGUGAAUAGGGGGAGAAGUUUCAUUAGGGUACGUAUAUAUUGGGUUACUAAUGGGAAAAAAGGGGCCAAAAUUGAGGUCAGUAGGUGAGAGCUUGUUGCAAAAAUUUGCAUAUGAAUCUGGGCGAAGUAGCAGAGAUUGAAAUUUUAUCGAGAAUCAGUAAAUAGUUAGGAGUGGCAGAUUUUGAUGUUAAAGCUUCAUUGUUGAAUAUAAGUGAGUAAGGAAUAAAGAAGUUAAACUUGCACAUUGUGCUAGCUACACGCGGCCUUUAUUCGGGGCACUUAUUUGCAGCUGAAGUGAUCCCGUACCAGGAACAAUGAAAAGGGUCAUUAAAGUAGAAAGCCUAGUUCUGAUUGUAGUUGUUGUCUUGGAAAGCUUCUUUGCUAGCAGGACUCCCAGUCUCUGGAAGCCAUACUUUUAAGUCUCCACGCUACUUUGCUGUGAUCCUAGUCCACAGUGCAUGUCUCAUGUACCGCUACAACUCUGUUCUCAGCACAUGUCUCCAGUCUGGUUUAGUUUUAUUUCGCCUGUGCUAUAUAUAUAUAGAGACAGCUCAGUUGUGUAUACUACUACAUGCACUGCAUUUAUUGUAUAUCACUCCUCUGGUUACUUUAUUAUCGUGUCACCAGCUGAGAGUUUACACUUUAGUGCUCUGUAGUUGUCUGGUCUGUGCAUGUGAUUCUGAGUCCGUGUUCACCUGGCUGCCAUGCACAGGACUGCGUUUACAGCAUGGAUAGGCUCCACACAACAAGUUAUUAGUUGUAAUAGUGAUGUUAACAAAUGUAAGCUAAGAAGCUUGAAGUUGCACAUUGGCAGAACAAGCUACACGCGGCCAUUAUUCGAGGUACUUGUUAUAAUUGCGGUUUGUUGUCUUGGAAGGCUUCUUUGCUUACUCUGCAGUAUCCUAAUUUCUAAGACUCAAGGCUUCUUUGCUGUAAUCCAAGUACAGUGCAUAGGCAUGCACUAACUAAAACCAAGGGCGUAUGAAGAGAAGAGGGUAUGCAACUCGCAAUGUAUAGUUGUCUAAUUAUUGAUGAGUCAGCAUUGGUUAGUAAGCGCAUGCGCCUAUAGGGAAAUAAGCAGGCCUCUAUGCGCCUAUUACCGUAUACCUUCUAAUUUAUCGGACACUUCUAAUUACCCCGGACACUCUUUUGGGCAAUUUUCUUUCUUCUAAUACAACGGACACUCCUGUGCUUUAAUAUUACAUCUGUUCUAAAUAUCCGGACAAUACCUUGAAAUUCAUAGACGGCAAGUAAGACUUUAGAGUGCUGCAGUUAGAUAGCUUUAAUAGCUAUAAAUAUAACUAUGGUCACGUGGGACUACAUUUUCAUGCACAUGCAGCAGUGAGCAAUUUCAAGAAUUGUUCUAUUUAUAGUAGUGGUUUUGGAUUCUGUAGCAGAUGCGCAAGUUACACGCUCUCUCUCUUUUAUGCGCUCUUGCUAUAGUGAAACUAUUCAGUCGCACACUGUUCUAUUAAACUUAGCUAGCUCACAUGCAGGUGCUUGCUUGUUCUAAUUAUUCCGGACACUUCGCAUGCUCUAUAAAAAUCUGUUCUAAUUAUACCCAGACAAUUUCCAAAAUUAUAAUUUUUUUUGCUGUCCGAUAAAUUAGAAGAUAUACGGUAUCUAGAUGAGCUUAUAGAAAUUAACCACACCCAUGACGUUUCAAUGAAGCAAAUCUCCAUUAGCUAGCUCGAUCGUUUGUCUGCAAGAUGUCUAUAGUCAUAUCUGACAGCAGCAACACAACUACCGGUAGUUAAAGAGACUUAACACCUAUAAAGAAGUGUGGAGACCAGUUGUUGGGCAGAGAACUGUGCAGAAAAUCAUGCGCCUUCUAUCAAGGCUCUUGGUCUGCUAACCAGUAUGCGCCUAUUAGUUGAUGCGCUUAUUAACCGGUACUAUAUUUAGCCAACCGCCCACUAUAAAAUAGGCGUGAUAGUGGGCGUGAACACUGUUAUACUAGCAAUUUACCGUAAAAUUGAUUUAGAAGAGCGCCCUAGAAUUUGGUUCAGACUCAUGAGAAGACUCGUCGUAUCUGGCAAGACACCCACCAGUGUUACAGCAAAGAUAUAGUUGCAGUAGCUGUUAGUGCGAAGUAUCAAACAGCUUAUUAAGGUGCUUCUCCACUAUUAAAGUGACAAAGCAACAGUACCGAGAAGAAGCUCGUACGUCUACUGACGUCAAUGAAGCGAGGCUCCCUAGCCCCUAACAAGGACUGGGCUUUCUUCUUUCCAUGCACAUCUGUUAUUAAACGUUAGUUAGCUUGCUUCUUGGCAACAGCAGGAGCUCUGGAAUAGCAUUGGUCCUUCUCUCCCGCUUGUUGACCUUUGUGGCUAACUCUAUCCAAGAUAAUUAUGCUUACAACAGUACAGCUUGCUAGCUAGCUAGCUAGCUAUGGAGUAUUAAAGUGCACAUCCUUGUCUAUUUUUAGCACACACCCUCUCCCAUUUGUAAUUUGAUAGAUUGUAGUUGCAUGCAUGCCCUCUUCUCUUCAUACGCCCUUGCUAAAACGAUACCAGGCCCACUCUUUGAGGCGGCCUGGGAUCGAGGCUAGGUUGUUGUGGGCAAUUACCAGUCCAAGAAAUUUCUGGACAACUCAAAGUUUCAGCAUACCUCUACUCUAGUCUAGUUACUAGUUGCUGCUAUAUCUAACACAAAGACUUGUGAAUGUUCACGAGUUCUUAAAAUUUUGGUCGGGUGUGUCUCAUGGAGUCUUUAGUGUCAGCGAUGUCGAUGAGAAGAAACUGAAGGAGUUAAUUACCGUGUAACGAGUUAUUAUCAUUGGUAGAAAUUUCGUAUUGUAGAGCAUCAUACGAAAAUAAAUUACUCUGUAUGAAUAUUUAAAAUACGGAAUAUUAAUUAAGCAGUUCGUAAAUUAUGCGCAAAUUUGCACCAACGAAAAUUACCCUCUUUACGAUUCAUUGAAUUACACGUACACAUGACAUAAACAAUUAAAAUUAAUUAUAUUGUAUAUAAGUUUACAAUGACUAGUAAGCCUUUACCACAACGAAGCAAAGAGUCUCAAGGUUUAUCGGAUCUGAUACAAACUCUUUUUCAUGGUUUUCUUUGAAGAUUUUCAGUUUUUUAUUGUCAACAUCGCUGACACUGAAGUCACCGUGGGACAUACUCGACCAAUAAUUAUUCUAAGAACUCAUCAACACUCACAAAAGUCAACUCUCUGUGAACAACUUUAGCUGAGGCAACAUUGAAUCCAGCUAAAUUGGCUAGGGUAUGAUAAGAUUCUUUCGUUUUGAAACUCAUUCUUGUGUAUACUAAAUUCUCCUCAAAAUCAGGGGAAACCAAUACACUUAGGCACUUGCUAACUAUCUGUGGAUAACUGGGUGGUCCAUCAUAUGUAAUAAAGCCGAAACUUCCUCCAGAAGCGAGCUUGCUGUAGAGACGGUUGAAAAGAGCUUGUUUGUUCUUGAUCCAGUGAAUAACAUGUGUUGCGAUAAUCAGAUUGUAAUUUUCUCUAGAAAAUGUUUCGUCAUUUGCAACACAGUAUUGAAUGUUGGGUCGUGAAUUCUCUCUCUUUGCUACUUUGAUUCUCUCUGCAUCAGGAUCGACAGCAACAACUCAUCCCUCAGGUCAGACAAGAUGGUAGCAAGAUGGCCAGUUCCACAGCCAAGGUCCAGGACCAGUCCACCAUAGGGGACACUCAGCAUGCUCAUCAAUUGAUCUGCAUGGUCUUUUUGGAGGAGAGAGUUUUCGAAGUAUAGCUGUGCUGCAAUGGCUUUGAUGGUUGACAUAGCUGUGAUUAAAGCUUCACUAUGGCUGUUUCUGGGAAACCUACACAAAAAAUACCUGUAUGUCAACGCGUGACAACUGCCAGCCGGUCCUGAUAUUCCACAUUGAAUAUAUUAUUAUGUCUGCAUGUGUGGGGUCAAGAAUUGAUGCCGAAAUCGAUACUUAUGUCAUCAAAAGAGGUCCAAAACAAUAAGGUAAUUAGUAAAUUGACAAGAAUGUUGUAUUGUGAUACUGCAAAGCCUAUAUGACAUUUAUCUUUGAUGUUAACAAAAGGGCCGAGUAACCAUCAAAUUGCAAUGUAGUGAUACGAAUGCGUAAUUGUCUAUACAUAGCUGUUCAUGGCAUUGUGAGGAAUUUUUUGAUGAUCGAUAUUCACAAGAACAACUCUGUCCUCCAGGUCCCACAAGGUCAAACACUCUCUAUGCGUGCAUAAAAUCAUACUUGACCAGUUUAAAGGCCCUGAAAACGUAAUGCGGUAUAAUUAUUUAUGCGAUAAGACACCGCAAUCCCAUUGUACAAGGCUCGAAUAAAAGUAUAUAUGCGAUAUGGUAACCGCUCGCAUAUAUAUACAUAUGACAAACGACACGAGAGAUGUAUCAUCGGAAGGAUAUAGGAUCUGCAACAAGUGCCCGCUAUCUUCUUUAUACCUCAUAGGUCAACGGUAAUCUAAAGUAUUAAAGGCAUUCGAGGGCGGCUUAACUGUAACAAACCGUGUAUACUCCAAAUACUUGAAAAGUGCACUUCAUAAAAUAAAAUUAUAUCCACCAUUGACGUAUAAUUAUGGAACUGAUAAUUAUAGUGCAUGACAAAAUUACAUGCAAUAUUCUUUCACACAUAAAUUUAUUGUCACAAAGUAUUAUAAUUAUAUUGAAUACAAGCUUGCAAUAGCUAGUAAACCUUUUCCACAACGAAGCAAAGAGUUUCAAGAUUUAUCGAGUUUGAUACAAGAUCUUUCUCGUGGUUUUCUUUGAAGAUUUUAAGUUUCAUCUCAUCGACAUCGCUGACACUGAAGUCACCAUGAGACACACCCGACCAUAACUCUAAAAACUCGUGAACAUUCACAAAAGUCAUCUCUUUGUGAACAACUUUAGCUGAGACAACAUUGAAUCCUGCUGAAUUGGCAAAGGUAUGGUAAGUUUCUUCCGUUUCAAAACUCAUUCUUGUGUAUUUCAAAUUCUCCUCAAAAUCGGGGGAAACCAAUGCACUUAGGCCUUUGCUAACUAUCUGUGGGAAUUCUGGAGUGCCAUCAUAAGUAACAAAGCCAAAACUUCCUCCAGGAGCGAGCUUGCUAUAGAGGCGGUUGAAAAGAGCUUGUUUGUUCUUGAUCCAAUGAAUAACAUGUGUUGAGACAAUCAGAUUGUAACCUUCCCCGGGAAAUGUUUGAUCAUUUGCGACAGAGUAUUCUAUGUUGGGUCACGAAUUCUCUCUCUUUGAUAUUUUGAUUCUCUCUGCAUCAGGAUCGACAGCAACAACUCGUCCCUUAGGUCCCACAAGGUCAGACAAGAUAGUAGCAAGAUGGCCAGUUCCACAGCCAAGGUCCAAGACUAGUCCACCAUAGGGGACACUCAGCAUGCUCAUUAGUUCAUCUGCAUAAUCUUUUUGGAGGAGAGAGUUCUCCAAGUAGAGCUGUGCUGCGAUAGCUUUGAUGGUUGACAUGGCUCUAAAUCGUUUUUGGAUGAUCUUUUCAGUGAGAAUUCUUGACCUUUAGAAGUUUUACUAUUCAGUCUUCUGCCCUAAGACACCCGACAAGACAGUAUACCUCAAGUAUUUUAAUGGUUUCAUAAGGAUGACCUCACACAACACUAUACCUUAAGGUGACAUAUUUUCGCGUGUAUUAAUUUCUGCUAUUUCUGCGAAUGGGAGUAAAAAUUAGUACUCACAAAUAAUUGGCCGCCCUCUUGUUUAAUGUAUCCAGAUCGACAUUUCACAAAAAAUUAUAUCAGCAAAAUGUACAAAACUGUAUAUUAUUAUAUAAUGAGAUUCAUAAUGAUGACACCCAACAAACUCUGCCAGAUAGUAGUAAGGGUGAUUUUUCUGAAUUUCCAAAGCUCGUAACACAGACCAUUUACUGAACUAGAACUUGUUACUAGGAGACAAAUUGGAAUGUAUUAACUCGUAUGUUAAACUGUCUUCUUAUUGCAUAUUUCAACUUAGAUAGCUCUAAAAACCUUUAUUUUUAUCAGAAACCCUGUUCUCAUUAAUAUAUUCAUGAGGCAACUUGUAGCACUUCCUGUCUUACAACAUCUGGCGCCUCGGUGGAUGUGUCAAAGCUAUACAUAACAAAGUACUAGCUGUUGCUAAUGCACACAUAAUAAUUAGCAUCAAUUUUUGCUGCAUGCAGGGAAACUCGAAGAGUGGGAAAUAAUCGGCCAUGAUUGUUGCUAAAAAGGAUACCAAACGUCCGAAGUCCAAAAUUAAUGGCUGUUGCACCAAGCACUCUCUUCUCACUCUUGCAGCUACCAAUAGCUAUAGCGUUCUAAUGCAGAGCUAACGAGUGAUGCAAGCUAAUAGCAUACUAGAAGUUAGUAUUUCCAAACUGAGAAGCCAGUAUUUGCUAAUCUUUUUUUUUAUAUAGAUGGUAUUAUGCACUCAUAUAUACGGUACUUUAUUGGAUAUUGUCUGUUGAUUUUCUUGGUUUCUGUUGCGUAAUAGUGUAAAUUGCCACGCCCCUGUGACACAUUAUGACUGUCAACUGGGUGUAGUUGCCAGGUUAGACAUCACAUGAGCUUGGAUGUAGCAAAUAAAGACAAGAUGAUUUGUGAUGUCACAAAUCAAUGAAUAUCAUUGCUUACGUUAGCAAAAACAGGCAAAGAGCAGCAAAAUGGAGCAAAAUCACCAUUUUUGACAAGAAGGGCCGCUCUAGCAAAGAAGAGACUGGUCUAGCUCCUAACCUACUAACAGCCUGCACUUCCGCUGGAGCUCAAAAGAUGUGCAAGGUAAUGAAGUACUUGCACAACAAAUUUCAGAUCUUAACUCAAACAUAUAAGAUAGUUCCAUGCCUAACAUAUUUUCCAAUGUACACAUAUUCUAGCAGCCAUUUUGGAAUAAUGAUGUCAUAUGAUGUAACAGGUGGUGGUCCACUGGAAGCGCCAAUAGUUGAACUUUCAGUACCUGCACUCAAAUUGAUCCAAUCACAUUUAGUUUAGAAGAUAUACACAAAAACGUAAAAAAACAAAAGUUCUACUCUCUUUGGUUGUUGCACUGUAAGAAAACAGAGCUAUAUUGGCGGGAAUCGCCUCCCAUAAUUAUUAUACUUCCACCGUUAAAAUAUACAACUAAUAAUUAUAGCGCCAUAAGUAACCUGUCAAAAUGAAUGGACAUCAACUCUAGCAAAUACUUUCACUACAGUAGAAACAUUAAAGAUAAAUGACAUACACAUGGUGGUAUGUAAUGUUCUUUCCAUAGACUGUCCUAAGCAAUAUAUACAAACUAUACAAGUUUGCACAACUAGAUUAAACCUUUUCCACAACGAAGCAAAGAGUUUCAAGAUUUAUCGGGUUUGAUACUAGAUCUUUCUCGUGGUUUUCUUUAAAGAUUUUAAGUUUCAUCUCAUCGACAUCGCUGACACUGAAGUCACCAUGAGACACACCCGACCAAUACUCUAAGAACUCAUCAACACUUACAAAAGUCAACUCUUUGUGAACAACUUUAGCUGAGGCAACAUUAAAUCCAGCUGAAUUGGCUAGGGUAUGAUAAGAUUCUUUCGUUUCAAAUUCAUUCUUGUGUACAGGGUUUUGCAGAAUCUUUGCAAUAUCCACAAAAAGCGUUUUGCGUUGAGCGUUCCUUAUAAGGUUAUCUGUGGUCAACCAUAAAGUUGUAGAUCUUAGUCAGCAUGUCAACAAUGCACUAUUCCAAACAGUUGAUGGAUCAAUUUGAAGAUUCUCAGCAACACUUUGAUAAGACAGUCCAAGCAGCUCUGUCUGAUGCACUAUUCUCCACCUUAUAUCCCCUUGGUCAGCUUUUUUCACAAGAAAAAGCCAUUUUGUUUUUGAAUUUUGCUUCCCAAUCAGACUUGGCAUUUCACCACAAUGUGUAUAUGACACCACAAUGUGUAAACAUUAGAUAUCCAUAUAAGGAACGCUCUACACCCUCUAUUUCAAAGAUUCUGCAAAACCCUGUAU